rnacentral:rRNA from 1 species
GACGAACGCUGGCGGCGUGCUUAACACAUGCAAGUCGAACGGAAAGGCCCUGCUUUUGUGGUGGCCUCGAGUGGCGAACGGGUGAGUAACACGUGAGUAACCUGCCCUUAACUUUGGGAUAACUGCACUAAACUGGGGUUAAUACCGGGUAGGAGCUCCUGCUGCAUGGUGGGGGUUGGAAAGGUUCGGCGGUUGGUGAUGGACUCGCCGCUUUUCAGCUUGUUGGGGGGGGAGUGGCUUACCAAGGCUUUGACGGGUAGCCGGCCUGAGAGGGUGACCGGCCAAGUCAGGACUGGGAUGAGGCCCAGCCUCCAACGGGACGCAGGAGUGGGGAAUGUUACACAAUGCGAGGAGGGCAGGCGUGGCAGCGCAGCGUGCGGGAUGACGUGCUGGGGGUUGUAAUCUACUUCCGUUUUGGACGAGGCGAGAGUGACGGUACUGGGUAAAGAAGCCCCGGCUAACUACGUG